rnacentral:lncRNA from 1 species
CAAAACUUAGGUGGCCCAUCCAAUUUACAGCCUCAAUCUCUUCCAGCUGCACCCCAAAACCGUAGUACCUCUCUCUCUCUCUCUCUCACACACACACACACACACUCACUAACUAUUUGCAUCGCCGGGAAAAAUCUUAAGGCAAUUUUUCGUCCUCUCAAUUCUCACCAGAAUCAUCAUUGGUGAAAUUACCUCCUAUUUGCUUCUCCUUGCAGCGUCCUUCUAUUUUCUCGAUCGCUACCUGCUUCGCUUCCUCUGGCAUCGAAAUUGUUAGAUUUUUCUUCAUUCUCUCCCCAUGGUGUGCGCCUGAAUAUGUACGUGUCCGUUUCUUAUAUGAGUGUUUUUUUUUUUUUUUUUUAAUUUGGGAAAAAUGGCUCAUACAAUUCUGAAUUCACGAUUUCGAUUAAGGACUGAAGCUCUUAAUAUAGAACCUUUUUGGGUUUAGGGAUUUUCCUACUUCUAUUAAUCCCAGCAUUGACAAGUUCGGGACAGUAAAAUUCUCAAUCGUCAGUACAGUCUGCCUUUGGGUGGUACUUGGUACGUGUCAUGUGCUUUUGAAUGAUCCUGUAUUUCAAUUUGGUUCUCUACAGACCUAUUUCUCCACUGUGGGUAAGCUAUGGAUUUUAGACGUACAACAUAAUGAAUGUUGGAGCUAUAGUCAGUACUAUAAAGUGACUGUAUUUUCUAUAAUGAAGUAAAAGUCAUGAAAUUAAUAUAUUUUACCGGUUGAAUUACUGUAGGGGGAAGGGGUACCGCUACACUUAUUAGUCCAACAAAAAUAGGUAGCUCCAUUCAAUUCUCAAAACAAAUUUUGGUGCUAUAAUAAUCAAAUGGUUAUAAUGCACCGUUUAUGCUUAGGAAGACAAUACAAAAGAUAAUGGUAUUGUUGUGUCAUGGGGAAAUGCAUUGGCUUAGUAGGAAGAUCACUUAUUGAGAUUGGGCUUUACCUCUCCUUUAUGAGCAUAAAGACAUUGUUUUCUGGAAUUAAAAAAAAAUCUUAUUGGAUGUAUUAGAUUUUGAAUAGAAUUAUGCUAAUAACAACAAGGGGUUGAUUAGUUGGCUUGAGAAUUUGCUUCGAGAAGCUCAGUUAAGAAGAUGAAAGUCUGAAAGCUCUUUAGAGUUCUCAUGGUCGGGAAGCUUAGCAACAACUAUUUUAUACGUACUCAAGUUGAGAGACGAAGAUAUUGGAUACUUUUACUAAGACCAAGAACAAAUGUAAAACAAAUUUGUGAUCAAGUUUGUUUACUAGAUAAACACGAGGAAUAUUUUUCAUAGAAUAUCUAUUUUGGAGUAGAUGCAUAAUUUAUUGUGUUUGCUUGGGUAAGGUUGUUCUCGGCACUAGAGAUUUGUUAACAGGCCAUCUAAGCAUCUCCUAGAUAUUCUAAAUAUAAGAUACUCUUUAUUUUAUAGAGUCAUUGCUUUAAAAUAAGUUUCACAAGACUCCAUUUUAACUUUUUAAAGUAGAGAGUGAAUUUGACUCCAAAUUUGAAAAGCCUAACCCACUCUCUAUUCUUACUUUAUAAAUAUUGCAUUUAAUUAGUUACAGAUUUCAAUACUCCACUUCUUAAAUUAUUUUAAUCUUAUUUGAAUUGAUUGAUCAUUGAUAUCUAAAUUAUUAUUAUUAUUAUUAUUAUUAUUAUUAUUAUUAUUAUUAUUAUUAUAAAUAAG